GAGGAGCGUGGAAAACGAGAGGGCAGUGAGCACGAGGUGUGCGGACACACGGGAGCUGAAAACGCAGAGCAUGGACUUCAGGAGCAGAAGGACACAACACGGGAGUCAGGGGAGCCCACGGGGAUCUAUUGUGUAAUAUUCACAGCACUGUAAAUAAAUGCACUGUUUUCUGCACCAAAGAGUCCUGCAUCGUGGGUUCUGAUUUCCGCACAUCCCCACGGUCUGCCAGCGCAGCCGUGACAGUGUGUACGUGUCACCAUUAGUGACAGGCUUGCCACUGAGGAAAGAGAAAACUGAGAGAAAAGACAUGACUCCUACUUUUCCUGUCAAAACCUUGGAACAGGAACAGCUCAAACAACAUAUUGUCCAAAACCAGGAUGAAAGCCAGGAACAAGUAGCUGUUAGCCAGAAAAUUGCAACAUACAUGGCUAACAAAGUGUCAGUCACAUUUUGGAAAGGAGAUUUCAGUGCCUUCGAAAUGGAUGCAAUUGUGAUUGCUGCUAAUGAAAGUCUUUCUCACAUGGGCAGACUUGCAAAGGUGCUGUCUGCCACUGGUGGAUGCAGUAUCCAAGCCGAGAGUGAUGUCUUCAUUGCCAAAAAUGGCAAAUUAAAGACAGGACAAGUAGCGUCACUGCAAUCAAAAAAUACAUUGAACAGAAGAAUCCCACAAGUCCUCUAUUUUGAAAUGCACCUGGUUAACAAUGAUGAUCCAACUGUGAAGGAAAUGGAAAGGGCCUUCGAAGAGAUCCUUUUGGAGCCACUUUCUGAUGUCAAGAAGACAGACAGAGCACCUUGA
rnacentral:lncRNA from 1 species